CGCUUGUUGUGUGUGACACGUGUGAAAAAGUUUGCUGCUCGCUUUUAAAGCCACAGUUAUGGGAUUUCUGCACAUGGAGACCAUGUUAAAGACAUUCAGUGUCAAAGUACACUCCUGAAACUGAAAGGCAAGAUGAGAGUCAAACUAAGGUUUUUUAUUUUAAUAAGAAAUAAGCAAUAAUGUUAACAUGACUCGUCUUUGUUUUUGAUAUAUUUUGCAGUGGUCAUCAUGAAGAUCUUAAUGAUUUUGGGAGCCCUGUUAGUGUCGAUCCUUCAACAUGUAACAUCGUCUUUAUUGUGACCACAGUCACAAUUUACUCAUUGUCCUAAAUACACACACAGACAUAAAGCUUAAGGUUCAACCAGAGUUCAGUAGCCCCAAUGCUGCUUUAAUGGGAGUGCUAAGGGGGAGAGAGGGAGACAGAGAAGAAGGGCCAGUGUGUGUUUUCAGCUCUCCACCCAGACUCCUCAACUGCAGAAAGUUAUGACUGCGCAAAGUAGAGCAUUUAUGGUGACCGACCACUUUUAUCACCGCUUACUCGCCGCUGCAAAUUCACGCGUUGUCACCAGAUAGCUGUGAAAGACGGGCGGCAAAAUAACAUAAAACGAUGGGAUUUCUGCACAUGGAGACCAUGUUGAAGAUAUCCAGUGUCAAAGUACACUCCUGAAACUGAAAGGCAAGAGUGGUCAUCAUAAAGAUCUCAACAAGGUUGUCACGCCUCGUCUGUUGGGGGUCAGAGAUGAAACACAGGAAUUAUGGGUAAGUUGGUGACCUGAACACCACAUGGUAACAGAAGCCACUGUUUUUAAAAACCAUUUUCUGGCCCCUGGGAAAAUGUGCACAGACAUGAACCGACACAUUGACACUUUUUCCCCUGUCCUCACACCUCUUGUCAAUACCACUUAUCACUUAUAAGUAAUCAAUAACUGGACUCAUCAAUUAUGUAUUACCUAUAGCUUCCUGUCUGCUGACACUGCAAAAACCCAAAACGUACGUGUGUGUGUGUGUGUGUUUGUGUAAUAGAGGACAAAAGAAUAUUACAUACAAAGCAUUCUUAGUGGAGCAGAGAUGAAUCUCUUGUAUCUUUGCCAGUGCAUUUCUAAACGCAUUCACCUUCACUGUUUUUAUGUUCCUCCAGGGACCUGGCUUAAUUGAAGAAUAUGAGCUUGUGUAUAUGAGUGUCCACUGUGUGUGUGUGUGUGUGUGUGUAAUCUAAGCCUAGUCCUGACCUGCCAUGGUUCUGAAUCACUCAGGCUAGUCGCCCAGGCCAGUCUCAUGUUUGAAUGACAUCUCUCCCCAUUGUUCUUCAUCUAUCUCUCUCUCUCUCUCUCUCCCCCCCCCUCCAUCGAUCGAUCUAUCUAUUUCUGUCUGUCGAUAACUGUCUGUCUUUCCACUGCAAGUACCGAGGCCUUUUAGUAACAUAAACCUUUUCUAUGAACUGUACUUCUUUAUAAUGGUGAUUUGUGUUCCCACCGUAGUAAAAGUACCAGCAACAUUUUGCAAAUUAGCCCUUUAGCAGGGAGGGGCUUACAGGAAGGACUCCAAUGAUUAGCUGUAAAACAACACUGGCACCAGCAGACUACAGGCCUUUUUAACAUUAGACCGGUCUGGAUGACAGUCUAGGCUGUGGGCUGCAGACCAAUACUGGUUCAUGUACUUGGUCAUGAAGCCAGGAUUAUGAUUGUACUAUCAUGAUAUGUUAUUGUUAUACUAUUUAAUGAGCCCAGUCCAUACCACGUUGAUUGACCAUCACUGGUCUGUAGACCUCGUGUUGAACCCACCCAACCCUCCGUCCAUCCACCAACGGCCAUGAUCUGUCCAGGUCGCUGAGGCGAUGAACACAAUAUCUAAUAAACUGCACAGAGCGCGAUAAAAUAUUGAAACCCUAAGUGACAACAGUAGAAAAGCGCUCCACAAACACACAACUCUCCUCGGCUCCUCUGUCUAAAAAUAUCGUUCUCACACAAACGGAUUCACGUGUGAACACCCACACCUCAACAAUCCCCCCCGUGCUUUUAUUACAGGCCAGGAAUGCACAUGUGUCCCGAUUACUGCAGGAGUUGUCUGGUUACACAGACAUGCUGUCUUAUUGAUUUUCAGCACCAAACUGUGGGCUUUACAUUAUGAGAGGAGAAAGACGAGGAGGAGGGCGAGGAGCAGCUGAGCGGGAGCCGUGGAUCUGUAGACGUCUCCGUGUGAAUGCAUGCUAAGACAAAACCAAGAAGAACAUGUAGAAGAAAAAAAAUUCAAUAUCUUUGUCUCUACAUGCCCUUCUGUGCCAGGCUGUUUUUCUUUUCCUCACUCCAGUUUCCUCCCUCUGGGGUGUCUGUCUCUGACCGUCUUCCCCUCUUUUUCCAUCUCCUUCUCAGUUUGUUUAUGUCUCUCUUUCUCUCUGAGCUUCAGCUGGGCUGCAAAGAAACUGUGAUCCACCUGCCAAGAAUAAAACAAGGCUGCCAACAACCAGACCGGCACACAAAAGUACUUAAACUCUCGCCACCCUCCCCCACGCCUUCCCUCCCUCUCACACACACACAGAGAGAGAAAUGGACAAACACAGACACAGCACGAGGACGACUAACACAAGGACACACCUGAUGAGUUAAUUUGAUCUUUUUAAACUCAUCCUACACUGUUUAUUAUUCAUUUUCUUUUUUUUUAAUUAAUUUCGAACACAUGCUUCAGACUUUGUUCAAAAGUCCUGACAUCGCUUAUGUUUAUGUAACAUUCAAAGAGGACUCAUCAACAAAUACUUGAAAAAUAAAAGCGGGG